rnacentral:lncRNA from 10 species
GCCUACACAGAAAGCAGCCAUGGGAGACUUGCCGAGGACUUUGUCCACCAAGUGAUGAAAGCAUGCAAAUGCCUCCGAAUCAAAGGCCUGAGCCACGUAUGAAGUGUGAAUCUUCACACCAUGCAAGAGAAGCCACAUGUUAUUGCUCUGGUCAACAAUCCCAGCUGACCCAACCAGAUAGUGUAUCAGGCAUAUGAGUAAAGCAUUCUUAGAUUCUUCAGUCCAGCCCUUCACCAGCAGAACACCAUUCAGCAACCCUUGUCGGCAUCAUGUGGGACAGAAGAACCACCCAGCUGAGCCUUAUCCAAAUUCCUGACCACAAAAUCAUAAGGUGAUGAAAUUGAGACCUCGCAGUUAAAUGUUUAAGUCAGGAUGAACUACUUUUCCAGGGAUGGUGAAGCCGGAGCUCUGGAUGGCACUCCUGGAUCUCCUAAAUCUUGAUUCCGUGCUCUUUUCUCCCCACUUGGCUCCACUGUUUUGGCAGAGUCCCUUAAGAUGGACCUGAUUGGAUGAUGUGGAACUAGCCAUGCAGAAAGAACAGAGGGUGGGAAAACAAAUGAGGUCAGAGAGUCCUCAUAUUAGUCGGUUCUUGCACUGCUAUAAAGAACUAUCUGAGGCUGGAUAAUUUAUGAAGAAAAGAGGUUUACUUGACUCACGGUUCCACAGGCUGUACAGGAGGCAUAGCUGGGGAGUCCUCAGGAAACUUAACAAUCAUAGCAGAAGACAAAAAAGAAGUAAGCAUGUCUUCACAUAGCCAGCAAGAGAGAGAGACAGAGACCAAAGCAGGAGGUGCUAUACACUUUAAAACAACCAGAUCUCAUGAGAACUCUUUCAGGAGAACAGCAAGGGGAAAGUUUGCCUCCAUGAUUCAAUCACCUCCCACCAGGCCUUUCCUCUAAUACUGGGAAUUACAAUUGAACAUGAGAUUUGAGUGAGGACAAAGAGCCAACCAUAUCAGUCCUCUUCAGUUGUUGGUACCUAUGUGGGGAGAAGGAGCUGUGUAGAGUGGGUGUGACUAAGUCGGUCAGAACUGGGAAGCAUGGCAGACUAGGCUGUCCUGCAACCGGAGGGUGGUUUCAGAAUCCAGAGCCUGGGAUAGCAUUCCCUGGACCCUCAGUCCAUACCUGCUAUCUACAGGCAGCUAGAGAAAACGUAAGAAUCAGCAUCGGUCACAGGUGACAUUGGGGCAGGGCACUGAGCUCCCUGCUCUCCACUGCGGCUGCAGUCUUUAAACUCCUUAUUCUAUCCAGCACAGACAGUUUGCAGACGAAGGUUUCUGCACCGGCAUCUCUGCUCAGAAGAGAUUUGCUGAUGUAACAAUUAUUUGCACUAUUUAUAUUCAAAUGUUCUUUUAAAAAAAUGCAGCCUCUAAAUUUACGGAUAGUAACUGUGUGCAAAUCAGGAAACUUAUCUCCUUUUUAUAGUCUAAAAUCAAAUUACACUUUACAUUUUUCUCACUUGCAGAAUAUUAGAUUGUGAUGCCUAAAUGACUUGUGUUUAUGAAAAAGGUGAAUUUUAAGAACAAAUUUUAAAACUGCAUAAGCAGUUUAAUGGGUGUUUUUAGAAAGUGAGAAUGAUCAGCUGGUAAGCAUUUAUUAUAUAUUAAACUGGAAGUUAUAUCGUCGCAUCCGUUAGCACUGAAUUCUGAAAAUCAUCAUGGCCCAGGUUUGUGUUUAUGAAAUGAUGGACCACAGGACUGUUAAAUAAAG